ensembl:snoRNA
GGCUGCCUCAGACACUCUGCUGCCUGCCUGUGGCACUGGGGAUUAAGCUGCCACACCAGAGCAAAUGCUCGGGCAUAAACUGGGGCUGUCAAGCACCUGUGAGUAGCUCUUUCAACCACGACAGCAGUAAAA